GUGUAGGAGAUACACACUGCUGACCUGUACAAGCUAAUAGGACUGUUCCUUCCUAUUAACACUGCAUGGGCUAUGGAAACUGGAGGAGACUGAUUUUUUUGCUACAUCUUUUGGAGGUACCAUAGAGUGAGCCUCAAUACAGGAAGCCGACGAUGAAGCCGAGAGGAUACUGCAGAGGUCUCUUUGGUGUAUGUGUGAGGCUCUCCUCUCAGGGAGAAUGCAGCAGUUGUAAAUAGUUGGCAACCCUUUGCAACAAAAAAAUCGGGCCAAUUCCCACUAAGGGCACGCUAUCAUCCAGGCUCUAGGAGAUCCUGUCAUCCCUCACUGCAGAUGAGUGAUUUUCCUCUUUCUCAGCACAAGUGGACAUGAAGCUUUUUCAACAUCUUUUCUAAUAUGGAUUCCUUCACUCCUACCUGUUUGAGGUAUGUGUAUAAAAAGGUUUACUUCCUGUUCAGUGUUCUCUGAUGUAU
rnacentral:lncRNA from 1 species